UUCAAUGGAGAGUUUGAUCCUGGCUCAGGACGAACGCUGGCGGCGUGCUUAACACAUGCAAGUCGAGCGGUAAGGCUCCUUCGGGAGUACACGAGCGGCGAACGGGUGAGUAACACGUGAGCAAUCUGCCCUUCUCUUUGGAAUAACCAUUGGAAACGAUGGCUAAUGCCGAAUACGACUUCGGACUGCAUGGUCUGAAGUGGAAAGCUCCGGCGGAGAAGGAUGAGCUCGCGGCCUAUCAGCUUGUUGGUGAGGUAAU
rnacentral:rRNA from 1 species